GUAGUUUAUUACUCCAUGCCUCAUGCAGAGAGCAGUGCUGCGAAUUGAUCUGCCAGGCUCUUCACAGUCGUCGGAGAAACUGCAGAUUCUCCACCCAGGUACCACUUCUGAAUCAUCUCGGCCACAUUCUUGUUCUCCACUGUCAGCUUCGCCUCGCCCUUGCCUUCUGUCACAAAUGAUAUCUGCACACAUAUAUGCAUGCUUCAAUUAGGUUUGCAAGAACAAAGAUUUGAUCACUUGAUAUCUUAACCAAACCCAGCUGAAUAUAAGGAGUACUCUACAAGAUUAUACCUCUGCAAUUCCAGGGGUGUUAGGAAAGUGGAAGGUGAGGACGGAGUUGGGCUUGAAAUACUUGGACUGAAAGAAUUCAGUCACCUUCUCCAGAGACUCUUCCUCCUCAUCCUCGUACUUGUCCACUGACACGAGACGGUCGCGCACUGAGCUCUCCAGCUGCACGCCGUACUGUGAUCCUUUGAUCUCCUUGAUCACCACGAUCCUGAAUAGUUUCUCCACAGGAGCUAGCGUACAUGCACAGCAUCAAUCAGCAUGACUCAAAUGAAAAAAUGAAACAUUUUUUUCUUGCAGUUAUGCAGGAGCGGCAGACUGAACCUUACUCUGUUUUAUUUUGUAGGAUAGAACAUUGUUCUAUAAACUCUACAGAGAUAAUACUACUAUUUGUGAUCUGUAACUGGAAAUGGGAGAAUGGUAUUGAUAUACUAUAGACAAGCAAUUCCAAAUCCGUUUUACAUAUUUCUGAAAUGCAAAACCUGAAUGGUGGAGUCAUUUUAGUUACCAGAAACUAGGGCCUGAAAGAAGCCAUCAUCCUGCACAAGCUCCUCUGCCUUCUUGCCCUUCCAACUCUCCAAAUGCCCUAGUACAUUGUCCUUUUCAAGAUACACCCCGAUGGCGUUGUAUUUGAUCUGAAGGAAAUGAAUCUCAAUGUCUGUAAUGCCUGCAAUUUGUUGUUUCAAAUGCAUUUAGAGGCUUGUGUUGUACUCAUAAUCUGGUAUUAGUCAAAUGGAGUACUUAUAAAUCAUUAAUAGAUUAAUUAAUUACCAUGGGCUAGCAGUGAUAACGGCUUACUGACGGUGAUCUCCUGAGGAAAUGGGAUGCCCUCCACCUCCACGGUGGCCAUCUCUGUGCCCACUGAACUUGCAUCAAUGAUGCAAACUUAAUUGAUUAGGAGUUUAAAUCUUGUAAUCACUAUUCACUAGUACAUUCAUAAUCAUAUUUUUUAUACAAUUUUUGUAUGUAAGCAUAUUUCAACAACUCUUACAUGCUUACAUCUACUUUGGUAAUUUCUCUAUCUCAAUGCACAAAGCUAGUGCAAAGUCUGAAUUCUGAAAUGUGUGUGCAGCUACUACCAGAGUUUCAGAUGGAAUUUGAUACAUUCAUUCAUGAGAAUGUGUAUCAAUUCAUGAUAUCACUCAAGAUGGACGAAAGACAGAGUAUAUAAUAGUAGUUUUCAACUAGCAAGGAAACAAUCAGAUUGAAGCAAGAAAGAGAGAU
rnacentral:lncRNA from 1 species